rnacentral:rRNA from 1 species
CCUACGGGAGGCAGCAGUGGGGAAUUUUGGACAAUGGGCGAAAGCCUGAUCCAGCAAUGCCGCGUGCAGGAUGAAGGCCUUCGGGUUGUAAACUGCUUUUGUACGGAACGAAAAGUCUCGGGAUAAUACCCUGGGACCAUGACGGUACCGUAAGAAUAAGCACCGGCUAACUACGUGCCAGCAGCCGCGGUAAUACGUAGGGUGCAAGCGUUAAUCGGAAUUACUGGGCGUAAAGCGUGCGCAGGCGGUUAUAUAAGACAGAUGUGAAAUCCCCGGGCUCAACCUGGGAACUGCAUUUGUGACUGUAUAGCUAGAGUACGGUAGAGGGGGAUGGAAUUCCGCGUGUAGCAGUGAAAUGCGUAGAUAUGCGGAGGAACACCGAUGGCGAAGGCAAUCCCCUGGACCUGUACUGACGCUCAUGCACGAAAGCGUGGGGAGCAAACAGGAUUAGAUACCCUUGUAGUC